UACAGAGGGUGCAAGCGUUUAAUCGGAAUUACUGGGCGUAAAGCGUGCGUAGACGGUCAUGUAAGUCGGGUGUGAAAGCCCCGGGCUCAACCUGGGAAUUGCAUUCGAGACUGCAUGGCUAGGAUGCGGAAGAGGGAAGCGGAAUUUCCGGUGUAGCGGUGAAAUGCGUAGAUAUCGGAAGGAACACCAGUGGCGAAAGCGGCUUCCUGGACCGGUAUUGACGGCUGAGGCGCGAAAAGCCAGGGGGAGCAAACGGG
rnacentral:rRNA from 1 species